rnacentral:rRNA from 1 species
UAAAAGGCCUACGGGUCAUGAACUUCUUUUCUCAGAGAAGAAGCAAUGACGGGAUCCGAGGAAUACGCACCGACUAACUCUGUGCAAGCAGCCGCGGUAAGACAGAAGAUGCAAGCGUUAUUCGGAAUGAUUGGGUGUAAAGCGUCUAUAGGUGGCUUUUCAAGUCCGCCGUCAAAUCCCAGGGCUCAACCCUGGACAGGUGUUGGAAACUACCAAGCUAGAGUAUGGUAGGGACAGAGGUAAUUUCCAGUGGAGCGGUGAAAUGCGUAGAGAUCAGAAAGAAAACCAACGGCGAAAGCACUCUGCUGGGCCGACACUGGCAUUGAGAGAUGAAAGCUAGAGGAGCGAAUGGGAUUAGGUACCCCAGUAGUCCCAGUUGUAAACGAUGGAUACUAGGCAUUGUGCGUAUCGACCCGUGCAGUGUUGUAGCUAAUGCUUUAAGUAUCCUGCCU